rnacentral:rRNA from 1 species
GUAGGGAAUAUUGGACAAUGGGGGCAACCCUGAUCCAGCGACGCCGCGUGAGUGACGAAGGCCUUCGGGUCGUAAAGCUCUGUUGCAAGGGAAAAACAAAAUGAUGGUACCUUGCUAGAAAGGAUCGGCUAACUUCGUGCCAGCAGCCGCGGUAAGACGAGGGAUCCUAGCGUUGUUCGGAAUUAUUGGGCGUAAAGCGGGUGUAGGUGGCUUUGUAAGUCAGGUGUGAAAGCCUGGGGCUUAACCCCAGAAGUGCAUUUGAUACUGCGAAGCUUGAGUGCUGGAGAGGCUACUAGAAUUCUUGGUGUAGUGGUGAAAUACGUAGAUAUCAAGAGGAAUACCGGAGGCGAAGGCGGGUAGCUGGCCAGACACUGACACUCAGACCCGAAAGCGUGGGGAUCAAACAGGAUUAGAAACCCCAGUAGUCC